GACGAACGCUGGCGGCGUGCCUAAUACAUGCAAGUAGAACGCUGAAGCGAGGAGCUUACUCUUCUUGGAUGAGUUGCGAACGGGUGAGUAACGCGUAGGUAACCUGCCUUGUAGCGGGGGAUAACUAUUGGAAACGAUAGCUAAUACCGCAUAACAAUGGAUGACACAUGUCAUUUAUUUGAAAGGGGCAAUUGCUCCACUACAAGAUGGACCUGCGUUGUAUUAGCUAGUAGGUGAGGUAAUGGCUCACCUAGGCGACGAUACAUAGCCGACCUGAGAGGGUGAUCGGCCACACUGGGACUGAGACACGGCCCAGACUCCUACGGGAGGCAGCAGUAGGGAAUCUUCGGCAAUGGGGGCAAGCCUGGCCGAGCAACGCCGCGUGAGUGAAGAAGGGUUUCGGAUCGUAAAGCUCGGUUGUAAGUCAAGAACGGGUGUGAGAGUGGAAAGUUCACACUGUGACGGUAGCUUACCAGAAAGGGACGGCUAACUACGUG
rnacentral:rRNA from 1 species